rnacentral:rRNA from 1 species
UCCGAAGUUAAACGUGCUUGGGCGAGAGUAAUACUAAGAUGGGUGACCUCUUUGGAAGUGCUCGUGUUGCACCCC